UACGAAGGGGGCUAGCGUUGCUCGGAAUCACUGGGCGUAAAGCGCACGUAGGCGGCUUUUUAAGUCAGGGGUGAAAUCCUGGAGCUCAACUCCAGAACUGCCUUUGAUACUGGGAAGCUUGAGUCCGGAAGAGGUGAGUGGAACUCCGAGUGUAGAGGUGAGAUUCGUAGAUAUUCGGAAGAACACCAGUGGCGAAGGCGACUUACUGGUCCAUGACUGACGCUGAGGCUCGAAAGCGUGGGGAGCAAACAGG
rnacentral:rRNA from 1 species